AUUGAACGCUGGCGGCAGGCCUAACACAUGCAAGUCGAACGAGUGGCGGACGGGUGAGUAAUGUCUGGGAAACUGCCCGAUGGAGGGGGAUAACUACUGGAAACGGUAGCUAAUACCGCAUACCAUCGGAUGUGCCCAGAUGGGAUUAGCUUGUAGGGUAGGGAAAGGCUCACCUAGGCGACGAUCCCUAGCUGGUCUGAGAGGAUGACCAGCCAAACUGGAACGGAGACACGGUCCAGAAGCCUAAGUGAGGCAGAAGUGGGGAAUAUGGGACAAUGGGCGAAAGCCUGAGGCAGCCAUGCCGCGUGAAUGAAGAAGGCCUUCGGGUUGUAAAGUACUUUCAGCGGGGAGGCGGUACCCGCAGAAGAAGCACAGGCUAACUCCGUGCCAGCAGCCGCGGUAAUUC
rnacentral:rRNA from 1 species